GUAAAAUUUCUACUUGCUUCAAAACUGGAACAAUGCAGAGAAGACUAUCAUGAACCCUGUGCAAGAAUGACAUGCACAUUCAUGAAGUUUCAUAUUUUUAA
ensembl:snRNA U6 U6 spliceosomal RNA